rnacentral:rRNA from 1 species
UACAGAGGGUGCGAGCGUUGUCCGGAAUCACUGGGCGUAAAGGGCGCGUAGGUGGCGCGACAAGUCAGUGGUGAAAGUUCGACGCUCAACGUCGAAUCGGCCACUGAUACUGUUGGGCUUGAGCACUGUAGAGGCUAAUGGAAUUCCGGGUGUAGCGGUGGAAUGCGUAGAGAUCCGGAAGAACACCGGUGGCGAAGGCGGUUAGCUGGGCAGUUGCUGACACUGAGGCGCGACAGCGUGGGGAGCAAACGGG